GUUCUACUCCCUCCGUUUGGAAUUACUUGUCUCGGUUAUGGAUGUAUCUAGAACUAAAAUACGUCUAGAUAUAUCCAUUUCUACGACAAGUAAUUCCGAACGGAGGGAGUAUGCU
rfam:Triticum aestivum genome assembly, contig: Triticum_aestivum_CS42_TGACv1_scaffold_112090_2AS